UUUAUGUAAGGAAAUAUUAGUUGGAAACAAUUCUAAUUUUUAAUGAAUUCUUCUCCCAUCCAAACAAAGAAUUUGAAAUUUCAAAUGAAUUAUGUAUCAAUUCUAUGCAUUAUCCAAACAAAAGAAUUCAAAUGUUUUGGAAUUCCAAUUCAUAGAAUUCUAAUUCUAUAGAAUUCCAAUUCCAAUGCAAUUCCAAUUCUGUAGAACCAAACGAACCCUUAGAAAUCUCCCCAACCUUUUGACAGAGUUGGAGCAGACCAAGUCCAGGUGUCCAACUAAGCGUCGCUAGUCCACCUUACUCCAGUGGAUAUCAGAACACUUGAACUUAACCAAAACGUAAUUGGGAAACGAAAACUUCAAAAAAAAAAAAAAAAAAAAAGAAGAAGAAAAGAAGAAAAAAGUAAGCAGAAGAAACUACCACUCGAAAUCCUUGAAUCAAACCCUAAUCGAAGAAUCCAAAUCUUUCAGGUAACUGAUUUUCCCAGUAAUAUUCUUUACUUUUAUUCUCUGUUUUGUUUUUGGUUUCGGCAUGAUAUGUUAAUUACAGUCUUAAUCGUUUUCUUUUCUGGAACAAGUAGAUUCAAAUUCUAGGUCUGUAAAUUAUGAGGACCUUGAAUAUUUAUCCUUUUUUGGUUUAUUUUUGUGAGAAUCAUAGCUUAGGUUGUUUGUAAUUGUGAAAAGAUAUUGCCCAAGUGCCCUUUAAUCUGCAAGUGGUGAUAAUUUUAAUUGUUCUGGAAAUGAAGAUCAUAAACUCACUAGGGUUCAUAAAGAAAACGAAAAAGAAAAAAAAGUAAUGCUGAUCAUUAAUUGUAUAUUAAGAACAGUUUUAUACAAAAAAUAAUUGGGAGUAGUAUUUUGGCGUUUAAAUUAAAAAACUGUUUCUAUAUCCUUGUGAUGGAGCAAUUAUGUUGGAGAAAUGCUUGUCUUCCUUUUUGGGGCUUGGGGGUCAUGUAUAUGUAGUUUUUGAAUUCAAUGGCGGGUAAUGAAGGUAUGGAAAGUAGAUGGAUGUUUCACCAGCAGAAUUUUGUGGUUUGUCGUUGAGGGAAAUGGGUUAUAGGUUGCUUAGCAACUACACUGGUUGGAUUUUGCUUCCUACACGGAGGCACAAGGAUGAAUGUGUAAGAGUUUGCUUAGCAAUUUCCCUGUUACUGCUUUUUUGCAUCAUGAUCAUUUGUGAUUUUGUACUCUUUUUUGCAAUAAUUACACCUUCUAACCCUUCAUUGAACUCCCUCUUUGGUAAAUUAAGGUGAAAAACUAUAAAAGAACAGAAAUAAUAAUUACACCUUCUAACCCUUCAUUGAACUCCCUCUUUGGUAAAUUAAGGUGAAAAACUAUAAAAGAACAGAAAAAAGGAAGGAGUAGAUGGAUUUAGCAGACAAGGCC
rnacentral:lncRNA from 1 species